rnacentral:tRNA from 1 species
GGGUAUAUAGCUCAAGUGGUAGAGAGCAUGCUUAGCAUGCAUGAAGUCCUCCUGGGUUCAAUCCCCAGUACCUCCU